CUCUGAAGUAAAUAGCAAUGGUGAGCAUGGACAAGAACAUGCCCAGGCAAAGAUCUGACAGUCAUAGACCAGUAUAUAAGCCAGACACUCAGUAGCUUUGUCAAUCGAUCGGGAGAAGACAGACAAAUUGGAAGCUGACCUAGUCAUCAUGCAUCACUGCUGGCUCAGUCAAACACCUCAUAAACGGGUAUGAUGUCAGUGAGUUGCCCAAGGUGUGGUUCUGGUCCCUGGUUUUCCUGUACUCAAUCUUCAGCCACUUAAUCUGCUCUGUGACAGGGUGUGCACCCCACACCAGCUCUGAGAGAGUUGAAUUAGGCCAGAUGGGCCCAAUCAGCAAAUUAAGCUACAAAGUGGGGGAGGAGGGGGAGAUUUAGGCUGUGUAGAGGCCACUAAUUAGAAGGAAGUUCACCUGUGAGGGAACAGGCAGGGCUUCUAUAAAGCUGGGAGGCAGCAGGGAGGAAGCCUGUAGUCUGUCUCCCUGAGUUAAGGCAGGUGGUGGUGAUGAUAAUAAUAAUAAUUAAUAAUUAUUAAUGAUAGCAGCUCCUGAGAAAGGGUUCUCCUACAAGGCCCAAGAGAGAGGGAUCUGAGUAGGAAGACUGAUGAAAAAGAAGCUUAAAGAAGCACAGAAGGAAUUAGUCCAGGGGUCAGAGCUGUAGGAUUGGUGAUGACCCAGACCUUAACUGCUUCUAUAGUGCCCUGGACUGGAACUCAGAGUAGAGGGUGGGACUGGGUUCCCCUACCAUCCACUGCAGAGUGGUAUUGUGUGGGGCAGUGAAUGAGAAGACUCCUGUGUCACUGCAGGAGUGACCUAGUCAGGACAGUGGGCUUGAGGACUGCCUAGUGCUGUUGGUAGAGAGAGACGUUGAGGAACUACCACGGAAGGGGAAAUUACAGUAGGACCUGGGCGGAGGGCUGAGUUACAAGGCAGCCAUACUGCAACUCUGUGAGUGGAAGGAGAUCUGCCACAGUGGAAGAGAAGAAAAGUGGCACUGAACCAGGCAGAGCUAGUCCCCAGAAUUGCCAGAAGGAGGUGCCACCCAGUGAAUUAUUCCUGGGUAAUUCCUCACUGCCAUUGUUUGUAGACAAAGCCUUGCUUACUUGUACGCAGAUACAAGGGAGCCAAGUUACAUCACUCAUCAUCCAGGGCGCAGAGUGAAUGAUGUCACCCACCUCCUGCCAAAGUCUCAGCCAUUUUAAAAUCAGCUGGGAGCCAGAUAGGACUUCCCUGUCAUUCCUAGUGACUGAGGAGGAAGCCACCAAGGCCUCAUCCAGGGUCAUGCUAAACCACAGAUAAUAAUCGAGUGGACUGAAAGACAGCUGCAUGGAGGAGAGGAACUCCAGACAGCCAUUGUAGACAGCACGUUCAAUGAGCAUAGAGAUGAAAGGCAGAUGGAAGAUGGGGCGGUAGCUGGAGAGGUA